ACAUGAUGAUAAAUUUUAGUUUUAGCAUUAAUAAAAAAAAAUUACAUUGUCAUUGUUUUUACAUUAUAAUUAAGAUAUAUAUUACAACACAUAAUUUAAACAAAAUAAUUAUAAAAAAUUACAUGGUAGACAUUAUGCAUUACGUGUGUAGUCAUGCCACAUAGAAGCUGCAAUCAGACUCUACAAUUAGAGGGACACAUGCUGCAUUUUUUUGCAAUUUUCAGACCCCAAUUAACUGUCUCAGCUUCUGCAGAUUGCUACAUUGCCAUUAAAACUGGAUUUCUUUACAGCAGCAGCUGCAAAUUCUCCCUUAUGAUUUCUGAUGGCAAUUCCCAGGCCAACAUAUUGAUCUUUCCAACUUGGCUGAGAAAAAAAGCUAACACACCUAAAUCAUUUUCUUUUUUUAAUAACACAAAUUCAUGUCAAAAUGGUAUUCAUGGAGUGACAGAACAAACGGAACAUGUGUAUCGGCAACAAAACAGCAAACCACAUUUUAAAAAAAUUAAUUCACAUUUUAAAAAAUAACUACCCAUCGAAUAUAAUUCACGGUAGCAGUUUGCCAACAUCCAAUUAAACUGGACAAUGUUCUUAUACUAACACCAACUUAAUCAAUCUCAUGCCAACAAAAUCAUAUUUACCAAAUAGAAAAUAAUUAUUAAAUAUAAGAAAGAAGGGGAAUGAUACAAAAAAUUACUAGCAAACACAAAGAUUCUCAACAUUCACCAUUUUCCCAAGCAAAUUAAAACCCAAUGGAUAGCAAAUUCGAUUGUAUGCAAGCCUUAAAAAAGAAAAAUAUCAGCAACUCACAUAACAAAGAUGGAGCCGAGAGGGCAAAAGCAGUCGAGGUAGUUGGAUGGAGCAGCAGUGGUUGCGGCGAGAUGGCGCACUAGCGGCGACGGAGAUGAAGCAGCAGCGACGUCGAUCGAGAUGAAGCAGCAACGGCACCGGAGAUGAAGUGCAUCAACCGAGAUGGGCACAUAGAGAGAGAGCAGAUCUGGAGAGAAAAGGACAGAAAGCUUGCUGUUGUGUGUAGAUCGGCGAAGAUAAGGAGAGGGAGAGAGAGAGUUUCGUUGUGAGCAGAUCAAGAAAGGAGGUAGAGAGAGCACCGUGAGUCAGCUUCGUUGUGAGUAGAUCAGGAAAUUCGUGAACGAAAUUUUUUGUUGGCUUUUGUUUUUUGAUUUGUUUUUGAGUUUGGCUUUGUAAUAAGUAGAGAACAUGUUAAACAUGUUUUUGCUUUGCUAGUUAUAAAAAGUAGAUUUGGAUUUCUUAUUUUGUAAUUUGUUUUUGAAUUCAGCCCACCAAACAUGUAUUACAUCAGUACUCCGAAAAUGAAAAUGAAAAUACUAACCCAAAAACGAUACCAAACGGGCCCU
rnacentral:lncRNA from 1 species